UACAGAGGUCUCAAGCGUUGUUCGGAUUCACUGGGCGUAAAGGGUGCGUAGGCGGGUCUUUAAGUCAGGGGUGAAAUCCUGGAGCUCAACUCCAGAACUGCCUUUGAUACUGAAGAUCUUGAGUUCGGGAGAGGUGAGUGGAACUGCGAGUGUAGAGGUGAAAUUCGUAGAUAUUCGCAAGAACACCAGUGGCGAAGGCGGCUCACUGGCCCGGUACUGACGCUGAGGUGCGAAAGCGUGGGGAGCAAACAGGG
rnacentral:rRNA from 1 species